UUUUAACAUUCAAGGAUUAGGUAAGUUCUCCCCGCGGUAGACUUCAAAUACUCUUUGUCCUGCCCCUGCUUGGCGAAAUUUACCGAAAUUAUCUACCUAUCCCGCUGGAGUGGGAGCCGGGGGAGAGCUGGAACCGCGUCUCUGCUGCUCACCUUUGUGUCCUUAGCUCCUUCGCAUGGGGUCCGACCGCAACACGUGCGCUGGAUAAACGCUUGUUAACUGGAGCUCCCUCUUUGCCCACUAGCAGGGCAUUAGCUGGUGCUGAAGACAGUGGCUGCUUGGCGAGCCUGGAUCUCCAAGUGACCCCCUCAGCAACUCCUGAUGAACAGGACUGAAGCCAAUAUUAAAGCAAGUCAACCAAAGGUUCUCUGGUGUAGACAAGACAGCAAAAGGACAGACUACCUUGUGGAACCUAGCAUUGUUCUCCUUCUGCAGCACUAAGUAACAUUUGUUCUCCGUUAAGAUCUUUGCAAACCACACACAAGAAUUGCUGGUCAUCCUGCCAAUAGAUGCUGCUCACAGAACCAAAUUUCCUGUGCUGAAUUGUCACUCAUGGGCUUGAGAGUAGGAGACUGGAGACCAAGGUGGCUAGAAUCCAGUUGGGCCUGAUGUCUCCCUGUUGAAAGGGCUCCUUGUGGAAUGAAUAGCACAUGGCUCCUGUGGUGGAUCUGAUAGUGGCAUAGCACCAAGUGAUGCAGGCCUGCCAGGGGCCACAGACACAGAAGAUGCUCCCGGGGUCCCCCAUGUACUCCAGACACACUGCAGGCCACCUCUCCCAGCAGGUUGCCAGUCAUGGGCCCCAUCAUCAUGACUUCUGUCCAAGGUACUGUGUGCAGAAAUGUGAUUGAGAUUCAAGUCAGGGCCUCUCUGCCCUUUUCCCUCCAGAAACAAAACCAAGAUAAUUUAUCCUGAACACGGUGAAAAAAGGAAGGGAGGGAGGAGAAAAAGUCCGGGUCUCACCUGGGAUUCUCUGUCUCCUGCAACAUGAAGGAUUUAGCCUGGGAGGAGGUGGUGAGAACUCUGGGAGAGAAAAAAGAAGGAAAGAAUAGUUUUACCCAUGCUGAAGUUAAUUUAAACCUUCACCUAGAGAAGCAAAAAAAAAAAACCCACACUUUCCCAUUUUGUGCCUCCCUUCCUAGAGUUUUAGCCAAAGGUUUAGCUAAGUAAUUGGUUUUACCAGCGCACUCACUCCUCCUAUCCCAAGUCUGUUUGACUCCCUCCCCAUCAUCCUCCUCACCUCUUUUCAGGCAGGGUGGGGAUAGCAGCAGGAGGAGAUUUUGGGAGCCUGGCAACUCCUGCAAGGACCGCAGGACAGCCCCUCUGUGGGGAUGCGUGGUGCCCCAUCUGCCGCCCUUCUGAAGAAUGCACUGCCUUCACUUUUUACUGUGUUAGAGUCCAUCCAGACUGUUCUAUCCAAAAAAGUUUCUUUUUCCCCCACAGGCAAUCAGGAAAUGAUUCCUUUCCCGACUGCUUCUGUCUAGUGCCUGGGAAUCUUGAGUCAAUCCCUCAGUAAGUCAGUGACUAGGGAAAUCCCUCUCUGAGCCUCCCAGUUCAUGUUGCUUAGGGAACCUGAUAUUUUCGUGAAACCUGCCUACACAUGGGCAGCCCAACAGCAGAACAAAUGGUGGUGACCAAAGUGAACAAAGAAGUAUAGUUGUGCCAGCUUCGUAGUUGCCCAUGUGGACAAGUCAGCAGGAUCAGGACACGAGGAAGAGUAAAUGUGAGACAGUCAAUGUGACUUCUGCGAUAAACAGAUUUUUAAACCCCGAAAUUUUGCAAAAUUUUGGUGAAACCUGAACUUUCUUCGUUGCAUAUACUGGCACUAUCUGUACCAUCAUACAACUGUCUCACAUUAAAGCUAUUUUUCUUGGGCACUGAUGAGUAAGGUUGGUAUAAGUUCCUCAGAUCAACAAAAACCCAUUUUCCUGUAAGUCUUACAUUUAGUAUUUAAGGAACUAAAACUUAAAUACAUUUUGUGAAAUGGUUGACACUUCACUGAUAAUGAUUUAUUGCUUGGAUUAAUAAAUUUUCCAAAAGUUGUCUUAUGUAGAAUAUGGUUUGCAACCAGCAGAACCAUUAAUCUAUACUGCAAUGAUAUGCACUAUGUAUAAUUGUUUAAAAGCCUCUACUUAAUGAUGUAAAAUGCUCUAUUUAAUUACACAUUUGGGUAAACUGUAUACUAACAUCUGAUGGCAUUUUUCCACUGUUUGUUGCUUUUUUCAAAUACUUUAUUGUACAAAGCUGUUCUUAAUAUUUUUCAAGUUUUUUUCUUUGAAUUUUGCUAAUGUUUUCCUUGAAUUAUGAGCACUGACAGAAUGUGCUUAGCACUUUUGGCUAUUCACACAGCUUUUGAGCAUGAUUUGCAUCCAAUAUUUACAUUGCUAGCAAUAAUAAGCCAUCUGUGAGUUUUGUCAAAAGUUAUUGGGGAUUUUUUAAAUUUUAGAAAUGCAAAUUAUUGUUUCUUUGAACUAACUCUUAUGCAGUUGCAAAGGCAUUUCCAGUUGUUAUAGUUUGUGUACAAUAUCAGGUGUUCCAGAUUAUGAUUCAUUAUUAAUAUCAUUGCUUCCUUGUUCCCUCUGAGGUCCAGAAGAUUCAUGUUUACAAUAUUUAGAAACAAUGUUAAAAAGGUAUCCAAAGUUUGUCACUUUAUUAUUAGUUUGUUCUUAAUAUUCUGUUUAAGUUUUUGAAUUCAUAGAUAUCAAAACGCUGCACAAUUAUGAUUUCCACAGGAAUAACAACACACUAACAAUAAGAACCAAAAACAGCAAAUAGGCUGCCUACAAGUUUUGACAAUAUUAGGAUAAUGAUAAUGACAGUUUUUCUAAAUCUCACAGUAAAGAAUGCAGCAACCCAGCAACACUGCUACCUGUGGCCUCAGGCUGCAGUGUCAGCUCUUCCCUGGGUCUCCAGCCUGCCAGUCUAACCUGAAAAUUAUGUACUUGCCAGCCCCCACAGUCACGUGAGUGAACUGGCCCAGGCUGGUCACCAGGGUCAGUUUCUCUGUGUGUCAUUAAUUCAUUCAGUCUUCAGCAGUCUCUUUGGAGCUGAGAUGUACCUACCAUCUGCCUUUUGGGUGCUUAGGGUGGAGAACCAGAAAAGUAUAACCUAGUGUGUAUCCUCAAAGAGCUAACAAUAUGGGGUGGUACCUAUAGGUCUGGAAACACUUUACUGACUCUGUGAGGCAUACCAGGAGACGUCAGAGAACAGUCCCUCCUCAAAUGCCAAAUGAGAUGCAGAAGAAAUAGUUUGCUCAAGUUCAUGGGCCAGAUAUCCCAGUGGUCAGGGAGUUUCAUGAAUGAGAUGGAACUUUGCAUGGAACCCGAGGGAUGUGUAUGAUUUGAGUAGAUGAAGAAAAUGAGACUUUCCAAGCAGCUAGAAGUUAGGGAGCAGCAAGAUGUGUGGUGGGAUUGAGCACAGUUGGUUCAGAGGAUAGACUGCAGUUUUAAUAAUUUGUAGUAAAUAUCUCCCAACUGUUUGGCACUAUUGGAGCAAGUUCUUGAAUGCCAAAUGAAGGCAUAAAUCAGUAAGAGGCAUAAUAAAAGGCUGAGCAGUGCUUGGCUUUUUACGAACUGAUCCUGAUAGGAGCAGCUGUUCAACAAAGUUGCCAGGUCACCGUUACAUAGUCCCUGCCUUCUAGGGGCUCACUGCCUACUGGGAGAGACAGUCUGAAAGUUGGUGGAGCAUGUAACUGUUGGAUGAGGAGUUUGAGCCUGUGGACUGUGGGACCCCCGAGGAGGGUGUGGCUACUCUAGGCAGAACAAUCCCACAGUUUAUUUAUAUUUAACCUUGAAAUUCAUUAGAGGAUUUUUCAGCAGAGGUUUGGUACUUGUUAAUGUUAAGGUUUGCAUUCUCUAGAACCUCAAGGAAAGCUGUACCGUGCAUAAUGUACCCUCUUAUGUUAAUGUUGUGUACUGUGAUCCUGUUUCAGGGACUUGCACUUAGGAAUCUGUUACAGUGAGCACAGAAGCAGACCUGUGGGCUCAUAGUCUUCACCCCCCACCCAUAUAUACAAGAUGAACAGAGUGGAGGUUAAACAACUUGACUAAACAACACAGUUCAUGGUAAAGCCCAAGACUGUACCUGCCCAUCCACUGCCUUUUCCAUGUAUCCUGGAACUGAGCAUAGACCUCUUCCCAGGCAGAGCUGACAGCAAGUAAAGGAGAUCAUAAUCAGGGGACCAAACAACUUUGUCUAAAGUGUGAAUGUCACCUAAGGAGAAGCUGUGAGAUCAGAAGGGUGGGGCAGAGGAGCAGACACCAUGAGGGAGAGUCCUUGGGGGUACAUCUGCCAGACUGACACUGUCUGGCCUGGGCAGUGGAGGGGCUAGCAGGAACCACAGGUACUGGUGGUGUGGCUACUACCGUUACAACUGCCUGUGCUUGGACAUGGACCCUCUGCAAUAUGCGGCAGUUUCAUUCAUUGCCCCCUACAUUCUACACCAAGUAGAAAUGGAAGGCAAUUGGAUACUUCACAGACAAGAUCUAAGUGGAGAAGGAAUGCGUCCUGUGGCUGCAGAGAUCCUUGGAGCUUGGAGGGGAGAGCUUGAGCCCCACUGAUGAUGACCUCCCACAGCUCGCCAACUCAGCCCUCCCUAAGUCCCCAUCGGGGGCCAAUUCUCACUCUGGGGUUGGGGGGACUCCACCAUAGCUCAUCCAUCAUAGGGAUGUUGGUAUCUACUGUGGGUUGGGUAGGGCCGAUGUGCUGAGGAUGGCUCCCCCACAAGCAAGAGAUGUGGAUUUGGGGAGCUUCCCAUCUUGUGUUGAAGGAACAUAACUCAGAAUAAUAAGAGCCAACUAUAACAAACCCACAGCCAACAUCAUACUGAAUGGGCAAAAGCUGCAGGCAUUCCCCUUGAAAAGUGGCACAGGAUAAGGAAGCCCUUUCUCACCACUCCUAUUCAAUAUAGUGUUGAAAGUCCUGAUCACAGCAGUCAGGCAACAGAAAUAAUAAAGGGCAUCCAAAUAGGAAGAGAGGAAGUCAAACUAUCCUUGUUUGCAGACAGUAUGAUUCUAUAUCUAGAAAACCCCAUAGCCUCAGCCCAAAAGGUCCUUCAUCUGAUAAUUUCAGCAAAGUUUCAGGAGACAAAAUCAGUGUACAAAAAUCACUAACAUUCCUAUACACAGUCGCCAAGCCAAGAGCCAAAUCAGGAGCACAAUCCCAUUCAUAAUUGCCACAAAAAAGAAUAAAAUACCCAGGAAUGCAGCUAACCAAGGAAGUAAAGGAUCUCUACAAUGAGAAUCACAAACGCUGCUCAAAGAAAUCAGAGAUGACACAAACAAAUGGAAAAACUUUCCAUGCUCAUGGCUAGGAAGAAUCAAUAUCAUUAAAGUGGCCAUACUACCCAAAGCAAUUUAUAGAUUCAAUGCUAUUCCUAUCAAACUAUCAAUUACAUUUUUCACAGAACUAGAAAAAACUUAAAAUUCAUAUGGAACCAAAAAGCCUGAGUAGUCAAGGCAAUCCUAAACAAAAAGAACAAAGGUGGAGGCAUCACAUUACCUAACUUCAAACUACAGGGCUACCAUGACCAAAACAGCAUGGUACUGGUACAAAAGCAGACACACAGACCAGUGGGACAGAAUAGAGAGCCCAAAAAUAAGGCCACAAACCUACAGCCAUCUGAUCUUCAACAAAGUUGACAAAAACAAGCAAUGGGGAAAGGUCUCCCUAUUCAAUAAAUGGUGCUGGGAUAACUGGCUGGCCAUAUGCAGAAGAUCGUAACUGGACCCCUUUUACUAUGUACAAAAAUUAAGAUGGUUUAAAGAGUUAAAACCCAAAAUUAUAAAAAUCCUGAAGAUAACUUAGGCAAUACCAUUCUGGACAUAGGAACUGGCAAAUAUUUCAUGAUGAAGACACCAAAAGCAAUUGUAACAAAAGCAAAAAUGGACAAAUUGGAUUUAAGAGCUUUUUCAUAGCAAAAUAAACAACAGGGCAGACAAUCUACCAAAUGACAGAAAAUUUUUGCAAACUAUGCAUCUGACAAGGGGCUAAUAUCUAGCAUCUAUAAGGAAUUUAAACACAGUUACAGG
rnacentral:lncRNA from 10 species